UGGGAAGAUCCUGAUAGCUUUCAUAGCUGCACCGUAAGGUUUAUGAAACACACUCCUCGGCCAAAUGAACCCAUGCCGAUUCCCUUCCCGGCAGACCCCGGCGAUUGGCUGAGAGUGCCUUGCUGGUCCGAUUUGCUCUCCAGGGACUUGAAAAGAGAAACCAGGAACAACAAUAAAAUGCCCCUAACCCAUGACCCUGCCAGUUCUUCAGGAAAAUGAACCUUCCAAAAGUGACACGAUGUGCUAGCAGAGGAGGCAGGAGGCUCCUGACCUGGGGAGAGCACUGCUGCCCACUGGCCCCAGAGGGAAGAGGCGCCUAGUUACCUGCUCCUAUCAGGGGCUGCCUGGGACCCAAAGCCAGAACCAGAAAAACCUGAAAAGCAAGUGGUUCCAGGCUCUGGUUUGGUGACUCAGUCAUUCUGCUCGGGCAGAGGCCUGCUCUAAGUUCCUGCUGUCAUCUUCGGGGCAGAUCGGAAGAAG